AAAACCUCAAUCUCUGAUUUUAUCAUUGGUUGGUCUUGCGUUGGAGGCGUCAGCUUCCUCUGCGAAAUACAAUGGCGAUGAGCCACGCAACCAAAGCGUAGUAAUUUAUUCUCGUGAUGGAAACGUGAGCGCGUCUGCCGCAACCCCCCAUUCUAAGU
rnacentral:misc_RNA from 1 species